rnacentral:rRNA from 1 species
GAUGAACGCUGGCGGCGUGCCUAAUACAUGCAAGUCGAGCGAACGGACGAGAAGCUUGCUUCUCUGAUGUUAGCGGCGGACGGGUGAGUAACACGUGGAUAACCUACCUAUAAGACUGGGAUAACUUCGGGACACCGGAGCUAAUACCGGAUAAUAUUUUGAACCGCAUGGUUCAAAAGUGAAAGACGGUCUUGCUGUCACUUAUAGAUGGAUCCGCGCUGCAUUAGCUAGUUGGUAAGGUAACGGCUUACCAAGGCAACGAUGCAUAGCCGACCUGAGAGGGUGAUCGGCCACACUGGAACUGAGACACGGUCCAGACGCCUACGGGAGGCAGCAGUAGGGAAUCUUCCGCAAUGGGCGAAAGCCUGACGGAGCAACGCCGCGUGAGUGAUGAAGGUCUUCGGAUCGUAAAACUCUGUUAUUAGGGAAGAACAUAUGUGUAAGUAACUGUGCACAUCUUGACGGUACCUAAUCAGAAAGCCACGGCUAACUACGUG